AUUGAACGCUGGCGGCAGGCCUAACACAUGCAAGUCGAGCGGAGCGGCGAACGGGUGAGUAAUGACUAGGAAUCUGCAUGGUGGUGGGGGAUACCGUAGGGAAACGGGAGACAAUACAGCAUACUAUCAGAGGGGACUAGGUCGGAUUAGCUAGUUGGUGGGGUAAAGGCCUACCAAGGCGACGAUCCGUAACUGCCCUGAGAGGGUGAUCAGUCACACUGGAACUGAUACACGGCCCAGACUCCUACGGGAGGCAGCAGUGGGGAAUAUUCGACAAUGGGCGAAAGCCUGAUCCAGCCAUGCCGCGUGUGUGAAGAAGGUUUGCGGAUUGUAAAGCCCUGUAAUUUGGGAAGCGUUACCAACAGAGUAAGCACCGGCUAACUUCGUGCCAGUAGCCGCGGUAAUUC
rnacentral:rRNA from 1 species